rnacentral:lncRNA from 1 species
UUUUUUUUUUUACCAUAAGCCUGCAUUUUUUAAAAAAAUGAUUUUAUUUAUUUAUUCAUGAGACACACAGAGAGAGAAGCAGAGACACAGGCAGAGGGAGAAGCAGGCUCCAUGCUGGGAGCCUGAUUUGGGACUCGAUCCUGGGACUCUGGAAUCAGGCCCUGGGCUGAAGGCAGGCGCUAAACCGCUGAGCCACCCAGGGAUCCCAAGCCUGCAUCAUUUUUACAACAAAAAUUAGCUUUAAAAAAAUCACUGUGAGUUCAUAUAAUAUACAUCAUACUAACAAGGAAGAAUUUAUCUGGUCCAUUUCAUCUAUUGAAACAAGAUAAAUGUUGACCAGUUGGUAGCUGAUACCCUGAAUACUGAGCUGAAAAGUGUUUGGAGGAAAAGCAAAUGAUUAAUAAGCAAUUUGUGUCAAUGGUCUUAAAGAAGGGUGGGGUCCUUCCCUCAUACCAGAUCAGGCACAAUUUGGCCUAACCUGUUCACCUUUUUGUAACUUAUGAGUUACUUGUCAAUGAGGAAUUCUAACAUAUAAAUCAAGCCUGUUAAGGGUCCCCGUGUGGAACUCCUGUUUCCAUGUAUAUUUUUCAUAUCACUGCAGUGCUUACUCUUACUUUAACCAUAUUCUGACACUUUCUAAAACACAGGUCUCAACCUAUCUAUGUGCUGCCUAUAAGAGACUUACUUCAGAUUUGAAGAAUAUGCAGAUUGAAAAUGAAGGGAUGGGAAAACAUUUACCAUGCAGAUGGAAAUGAAAAGAAAGCUGCAGUUGCAACUCAUAUUGGACAAAAUAGACUUUAAAACAAAGACUGUCAGGAUGCCUGGGUGGCUCAGUGGUUGAGCAUCUGCCUUUGGCCCAGGGCAUGAUUCUAGGGUCUGGGAUCAAGUCCCACAUUGGGCUCCUUGCAGGGAGCCUGCUUCUCCCUCUGCCAAUGUCUCUGCCUCUCUCUCUCUCUUUCUGUAUCUCUCAUGAAUAAAUAAAUAAAAUCUUUAAAAAACAAAAACAAAAAAACCCAAAAACUGUAACAAGAGACAAAGAAGGACACUCCAUAAAGGUAAGGAGAACAAUCCACAAAAGGAUGGAUAUUAACAAUUGUAAAUAUUUAUGCAUGCUACAUGGGAAUACCCAAACACAUAAAGCAACUAUUAACAGACAUAAAGGGAGAAAUUAAUAGUAAUAUAAUAAUAGUAGUGGACUUUAACACCCCAGUUACAUCAAUAGAUAAAUCCUCCAGACAGAAAAUCAACAAGGAAACAAGGGCUUUGAAUCACACAUUGGACCAGAUGGACCUAACAGACAAAUUCAGAACAUCGAUGAAAGACACAGACAAUGACACAAAUGGAAAAAUAUUCCAUAUUUAUGAGUUGGAAGGACCAAUAUUGUUAAAAUGUCCAUACUACCCAAAGUAAUCCACAGAUUUAAUGUAAUCUCUAUCAAAAUACCAACAACAUAUUUCACAGAACUAGAACAAAAAUAAUCCUAAAAUGUGCAUGGAACCACAAAAGACCCCAAAUAGCCAAAGCACUCUUGAAAAAGAACAAAGCUGGAUGUAUCACAAUCCCAGAUUUCAAGAUUUAAUUCAAGGUUAUAGGUACUGGCACAAAACAGAUACAGAGAUCAAUGAAACAGAACAGAGUAUCCACGAGUGCCUGGGUGGCUCAGUAGGUUAAGCAUCUGCCAGUGGCUCAGGACAUAUUUCCAAGAUCCUGGAAUGAGCUCCACAUCGGGCUCCCAGCUCAGUGGGGAGCUUGCUUCCCCCUUUCCCUCUGCCGCUCCCCCUGCUUGUGCACUCUGUCAAAUCAAUAAAUAAAAUCUUAAAAAUAAUUUAAAAAAGAAUAGAGAAUCCAGAAAUAAACCCAUGCUUUUAUGGUCAAUUAAUCUAUAACAAAGGAGGCAAGUAUAUACAAUAGGAAAGAUACUUUCUUUAACAAAUAGUGUUUGGGAAAACUGGACAGCUACAUGCCAAAAAGUAAAACUAGACCACUUUCUUACACCAUACACAAAAAUAAACUCAAAGUGGAAUAAAGACCUAAAUAGGAGACCUGAAACCAUAAAAUUCUUAGAAGAAAUAUAAGCAGUAAUGUCUUUGACAUCAGCCAUAGGAACAUUUAUCUAGAUAGGUCUCCUCUGGCAAGGGAAACAAAAGCAAAAUUCAACUACUGAACUACACCAAAAUAAAAAGGGUUUGCACCACAAAGAAAACCAUCAACAAAACAAAAAUGCAACCUACUGAAUAGGAGAUGUUUGCAAAUGAUGUCUCUGAUAAGGAGUUAAUAUCCAAAAUAUAGAAUUUAUACAACCCAACACCAAAAUAAAAAAAAAAAAACAAAUAAUCCAAUUAAAAAUGGGCAGAUGACUUAAGUAGACAUUUUCCCAAAGAUAUACAGAUAGCCAACAGACACAUGGAGAGAUGCUCAUUCAACAUCACUAAUCAUCAGGCAAAUGCAAAUUAAAACAACAUUAUCACUUCACACCUGCCAGAAUGGCUAAAAUAAAAGACACAAGAAAUAAUAAGUGGUAGCAAGGAUGUGGAGAAAAAGGAAGGAACCCUUGUAC